rnacentral:rRNA from 1 species
AUGUCCGGAAUGCCAUCUGAUGAUGCAAGUGCUCAAAUGAGGCUUGAAGGAGAAGUUUCUGGCGAAAAGGUAGAAGACACUCAAGAUGAGAAUGAAGGCAGUGGCAUGCCCUCUCCACAAGAGGAGGAGGCAGCAAUCAAGAAAAAAUAUGGAGGAAAAAUGCCCAAAAAAUCGCCACUUAUAUCGAAGGACCAUGAGCGGGCUUUCUUUGAUUCUGCUGAUUGGGCUUUAGGAAAGCAAGGUGGAAGUCCCAACAAGCCUAAAGGGCCCCUUGAAGCUCUUCGACCAAAACUCCAGCCUACUCAACAAAAUGCUCGUGCCCGCCGAUCUUCCUAUGCAUCUGCAGACAAUGAUGAGAGUUUGAGUUUGCCUGCCGAGGAGCUGAUCCAGAAUGAUGAUCCAACUGAAGACAAGAACAAGGAAUAA